CAAAAUGCUACAGUUAAAUGUAAAUUGCUUAGUCUGUAUAUUAGAUAAUGUGACAAAAUGUUAAAGAAUAAGAAAUGCAGGGAGCCACACAAGUUUUUAUUAGAAAUAAACAUGUACUUCCAACUGACAUUAAAAUGGUUUUCAACAGAAGUGAGGUUAAUAUCAUAGAUGAUCAUAGAUAAGGUUAAUAUCAACUAGCUGCAAAACCAAUCUGAACUGAAGAUAGCUGCGACUAGUUACCAAGGUCACCAGAAGCUUUGUCAUAUACAAGGUGCAUGCAAAAAGUUUAUCUACUAUAUUUUACGUUAUUAAUUUAAUAACAAAUAUAGACCUGUAUUUCUCAAAAUAAAUUUGAGAAUUCUGGAAUAGUUCCUUCAUAAAAAAUUGUCUACGCUUCUGUUUUCUACAAUUUUUCCAAAAUAUAUUUAAAAAAGUUUUAUUUAUACUCAGAAAUCUGAACAAGUAGAUAUUUAGUAUAGUAUGUCAUGUAAAUGGUAAGAAGAGAAAUACAUUAAAUAAAAAUAAUAAAAACCGGAUUACAAGUAUUAGGAACUUACCCGUUUUAUGUGAAUUCUACAUCUAGGAAUAAUGAAGCAUAAGGUCAUUUAAAAAUAAAGAAAUUAAUACAAAUAAUGCGCGGCUAACUAUUGGUUUUUAUUAAAAUACGUAGUUAAAGUACAUUACUGAAUAAUAAAAAAAACAAUAUACUUAUGUGUAUGUAUUUAUGACAAUGAAUUAUAUUCAUAAUCGUUUAUAAGGGACGAACACAAAAAAGUUGAACAAGUUAGACAGACGAGUGUAAAGUAAAUACGUGUGAUAAUCUCCGUUAUAUGUUUUAUGAGACUAACAUCUUAUAAGUUUAGGAUAAGCUGUGAAAAAAUAUGUUUGGUUAAUAUUACACCUUUUUCAUAUUAAUAUGUUUCCGGUGGAUUUACCACCACCUUACACCUGUGUUUCACUACCACACAUCGACUAUGAAUUUAUUAUUUCUUUUUUUCAUUUACGUUCUUUUGACUAUAGAUGUGCUCUUUCAUUUCUUUUCGUUUCAACGAUUACAGAGUACUAUAUACUUUAUUAUAUUUGUAUAUAUAUUUAUAUAUAAUAUAUUCUUGAAAUUACGAAAAAGUUGUCAAGUUAUCAUACUUCUUAUUAAUAUUACAACUGUCUAACAUAUGGAUUAUUAUUUUAUGCAUCAUUACAUGUACAUUAAAAACAUCCAUCUUAGAGCAAGAAAGUAUAAAAAUUUGCGUUCAUGCAAGUUUUUUUCAGGCACUGUUAGAUUUAAAAGAAAAACAUAUAGAACGAAAGUACAAAAAAAAUCCUUAGAAAUACCGAAUAUGUUUUUGAUAUGUACUGUGUAAAAAAUAUCUAAAUGAAAAGAAAUUAAUUAAAA